CAAGAGGACCUGGUGGCUAUUUGCAGAGAGAAAUCUGUCCCAUCCAGAUAUUGGUAGCCUGGCCCUGCUGCUCACCUCCCACUGCCCUGUGACCUUGGGAGCCUUGGAUCUCCACCUAGGAUGAACUCCAAUUCCAGAUUGAAGCCAUCCAUAGCAGGGGAUACGGAAAGGGAGACUGUAAAACCACCAGCAAUCUAGGCAGAGGUCAAAGAAGCUUUGAGGAAGCAAGGAGGUUGAGAGCAGAGUUGCACCAGGCCGUUCAGAAAGCACAUCUUGAAGAGAUCUCCUGGCUCUAGAGGAAGUAAGGCAUGGAACCAGAGAUAACCUGGGAACUUGGGAACUUGCUGGUGUUUCAGUCCUCAGAGAGCUGAAGGAAAUAUCUGGGUACCCAGAUGUGGUGGUGGACCCACUGGACUUCCCAAUGCAUGCACCCUGAUUGCAAUUGAUAGCAUAUCAACAUGGAAUCUUCGUAAUUUUUAAUAAAUAUAUUGGCUCAUUUAUUCACUC
rnacentral:lncRNA from 1 species